rnacentral:rRNA from 1 species
CCAAGCGUUGUUCGGAUUUACUGGGCGUAAAGGGCGCGUAGGCGGCGUGGUAAGUCACUUGUGAAAUCUCUGAGCUUAACUCAGAACGGCCAAGUGAUACUGCUGUGCUAGAGUGCAGAAGGGGCAAUCGGAAUUCUCGGUGUAGAGGUGAAAUUCGUAGAUAUCGAGAGGAACACCGGUGGCGAAGGCGGCCAACUGGACGAAUACUGACGCUGAGACACGAAAGCGUGGGGAGCAAACAGG